rnacentral:rRNA from 1 species
UUGUCCUUAUUUGCCAGCACGUAAUGGUGACCACUUUAAGGAGACUGCCAGUGACAAACCGGAGGAAGGGGGGACACCAGGAAGGGAUAAUGGUCCUUAUGACCAGGGCUACUCACGUGCUACAAUGGAGCGUACUGAGGGUUGCUAAGCCGCGAGGUGCAGCCAAUCCCAGAAAACGUUUCGUAGUCCGGAUUGGAGUCUGCAACUCAACUCCCUGAAGUCGGAAUCAUUAGUGAUCGUGAAUCAGAAUGUCAAGGUGAAUACGUUCCCGGUGCUUGUACACACCGCCUGUCACACCAUGGGAGUGGGUUGCAAAAGAAGUGGGUAGACUAACCUUGGGGAGGACGAUCACCACUUUGUGAUUCAUGACUGGGG